rnacentral:rRNA from 1 species
AGUGAACGCUGGCGGUAGGCCUAAUACAUGCAAGUCGAACGGCAGCACAGUAAGAGUUUGCUCUUACGGGUGGCGAGUGGCGGACGGGUGAGGAAUACAUCGGAAUCUACUUUUUCGUGGGGGAUUACGUAGGGAAACUUACGCUAAUACCGCAUACGACCUACGGGUGAGAGCAGGGGAUCUUCGGACCUUGCGCGACUGAAUGAGCCGAUGCCGGAUUAGCUAGUUGGCGGGGUAAAGGCCCACCAAGGCGACGAUCCGUAGCUGGUCUGAGAGGAUGAUCAGCCACACUGGAACUGAGACACGGUCCAGACUCCUACGGGAGGAAGCAGUGGGGAAUUUUGGACAAUGGGCGCAAGCCUGAUCCAGCCAUACCGCGUGGGUGAAGAAGGCCUUCGGAUUGUAAAGCCCUUUUGUUGGGAAAGAAAAGCAGCAGGUUAAUACCCCGCUGUUCUGACGGUACCCAAAGAAUAAGCACCGGCUAACUUCGUG